UCGAGAAUCAUUCACAAUGGGGGAAACCCUGAUGGUGCGACGCCGCGUGGGGGAAUGAAGGUCUUCGGAUUGUAAACCCCUGUCAUGUGGGAGCAAAUUAAAAAAGAUAGUACCACAAGAGGAAGAGACGGCUAACUCUGUGCC
rnacentral:rRNA from 1 species